AGCAUGUGGUUAAUUCGACGCAACGCGAAGAACCUUACCAGGGCUUGACAUCCCCUGACCGCGUAUGAAAGUACGUUUUCACCCUCGGGUGACAGGGAGACAGGUGGUGCAUGGUUGUCGUCAGCUCGUGUCGUGAGAUGUUGGGUUAAGUCCCGCAACGAGCGCAACCCCUACGUUUAGUUGCUAACAGGUGAAGCUGAGCACUCUAGACGAACUGCCGUUGACAAAACGGAGGAAGGUGGGAUGACGUCAAAUCAUCAUGCCCCUUAUGUUCUGGGCUACACACGUGCUACAAUGGCCGGUACAGACGGAGGCGAAGCCGCGAGGCGGAGCAAAUCCGAAAAAGCCGGUCUCAGUUCGGAUUGCAGGCUGCAAUUCGCCUGCAUGAAGUCGGAAUCGCUAGUAAUCGCAGGUCAGCAUACUGCGGUGAAUACGUUCCCGGGCCUU
rnacentral:rRNA from 1 species